rnacentral:rRNA from 1 species
UCGAACGAGAAGCUACCCUUCGGGGUAGUGGAAAGUGGCGCACGGGUGCGUAACACGUGGGUAAUCAGCCCUUCAGCUCGGAAUAACGGUGGGAAACCACCGCUAAUACCGGAUACGUCGGGACCUUCCUCGGAGGGUUUCGGGAAAGGCCAGCAACGGUCACUGAAGGACGAGCUCGCGGCCCAUCAGCUUGUUGGUGAGGUAAUGGCUCACCAAGGCGAAGACGGGUAGCUGGUCUGAGAGGAUGAUCAGCCACACUGGAACUGAGACACGGUCCAGACUCC